rnacentral:miRNA from 1 species
UUACACUCCAGUGGUGUCGGGU